rnacentral:rRNA from 1 species
AUUGAACGCUGGCGGCAUGCCUUACACAUGCAAGUCGAACGGGGGUAGCAAUACCCUAGUGGCGAACGGGUGAGUAAAGCAUCGGAACGUACCCAGUUGUGGGGGAUAAGGUAGCGAAAGUUACGCUAAUACCGCAUACGCACUGAGGUGGAAAGCGGGGGACCUUUGGGCCUCGCGCAAUUGGAGCGGCCGAUGUCGGAUUAGCUAGUGGGUGAGGUAAAAGCUCACCAAGGCGACGAUCCGUAGCUGGUCUGAGAGGAUGAUCAGCCACACUGGGACUGAGACACGGCCCAGACUCCUACGGGAGGCAGCAGUGGGGAAUUUUGGACAAUGGGCGAAAGCCUGAUCCAGCCAUGCCGCGUGAGUGAAGAAGGCCUUCGGGUUGUAAAGCUCUUUCAGACGGAAAGAAAUAGCCUCGGUGAAUAUCCGGGGUUGAUGACGGUACCGUAAGAAGAAGCACCGGCUAACUACGUGCCAGCCGCCGCCGUAA